GAUGAACGCUGGCGGCGUGCUUAACACAUGCAAGUCGAACGGACGGGCGAGCCUCUUGCUUCUCUCAUGUUAGCCGCGGGUGGGUGAUUCACACGUGGAUACCCUACCUAUAUGUCUGGUAUAUCUUCGGGAAACUGGAUCUAAUACCGUAUAAUAUUUUGAACCGCGUGGUUCUUUGGUCCUCUACGUUCUUGCUGUCACUUAUAGAUGUUUCCUUGCUUCUUUAGCUAGUUGUUACGGUAACGGCUUUCCAAGGCGAAGAUGCCUAGCCGACCUGAGAGGGUGAUCGGCCACACUGGAACUGAGACACGGUCCAGACUCCUACGGGAGGCAGCAGUAGGGAAUGUUGGGCAAUGGGCGAAAGCCUGACAGAGCAAAGCCGCGUGUGUGAGGAAGGUCUUCGGAGCGUAAAGCUCUGUUAGGAGGGAUGAACAGAUGUGUAAGUAAAAGUGGAGUGCUUGACGGUACCUGAUCAAAAAGCAACGGCUAACUACGUG
rnacentral:rRNA from 1 species